CCCCCAGCAACAAUGACACAAAACCCUCAAAUGUAUUAACAUUCCCAUCUUGAGGGAACACUGGGCAGGAACGUGAACUCACACAGCAAAGCCACAUGACUCGUAGCAUUGCUUCUGCCACCAACAAAUUUUGAGAUGUAAUCAGCUUUUCUUUUUAUUAUUAUUUUUCUUUGUUUGCUUGUUUGUUUUCCUCAGCCAUGUCCAUUGAACUACAUCUAAUAUUCUGCAUGACACAUAGCAUCUGGGAUUGCAAAGAGAAAAGGGAUAAAGAGGCACAGAAAAGGGGCCAAUGAAGGAAGAUGCUGAGAGUUGAGCUUCCAAUCUUUGAGCACUUUGGCUCAAAUGAUGACAACCACCAUUGUUUACAUCCACCAUGGAAAAAGACAAAGAAAACUGACUUAUGCUGCGGCACAAAGAAUAGGUUUAAUUUCUUCAGAGUAAAGCAUGUUAAAUAAGAGAAAGAAGUAAUCCCCUCUCCCCCAAAAGUUUAAGAAUCUUCUCUGAGAAUCACCAAAAAGAAUACUAAUCACUAUCUAGGAAUAUAUCCAACACUCUCCUUCAUCAACACUUUAAAGGCAUCUCUUCAUCUCUGUGAUCUCUACCAGAAAUGGAAAAAGCUCCUGAAAGACAUAUUCUAACUCUCCUGUAAUCUCUUCUCUACCCAACACACAAAAUCUGCAAAUUCUCCAGUCUUCUCCAAAACCCAGAGAGUAAUUUCAAAACAUUUUGGAAAAAUAAACAACCCAGCAAAAGCAUUAUCACUUCACAUUAAGAGAAGGCGAUUUUUUUUUCUUUAAGCUUUACAUAGUAACUCAAACAUGAAAUUA
rnacentral:lncRNA from 1 species